rnacentral:rRNA from 1 species
GACGAACGCUGGCGGCGUGCUUAACACAUGCAAGUCGAACGGAAAGGCCCUGCGGUUGUGGGGUGCUCGAGUGGCGAACGGGUGAGUAACACGUGAGUAACCUGCCCUUGACUUUGGGAUAACUUCAGGAAACUGGGGCUCAUACCGGAUAGGAGCUCCUGCUGCAUGGUGGGGGUUGGAAAGUUUCGGCUGUUGGGGAUGGACUCGCGGCUUAUCAGAUUGUUGGUGGGGUAGUGGCUUACCAAGGCUUUGACGGGUAGCCGGCCUGGGAGGGGGACCGGCUACACUGGGACGGAGAUACGGCCCAGACUCCUACGGGAGGCAGCAGUGGGGAAUAGUGCACAAUGGGCUGAAGCCAGAUGCAGCAACGCCGCGUGCGGGAUGACGGCCUUCGGGUUGUAAACCGCUUUCGCCUGUGACGAAGCGUGAGUGACGGUAAUGGGUAAAGAAGCACCGGCUAACUACGUG